rnacentral:misc_RNA from 1 species
GGAAGGAUCAUUAACACGUAUCCACGUUUUAUCAACCAAUUGAGCACCUGUUUUCAACAAUCUCCCUUUUGGGCAGAGAAUGAGUUGGUUUUCAUUGAUGUCAGAGUGUGUUGUUUGGGAUGCUUCGGCGUCGACCUCUGCCAAUUACUUGCGGGCUCGUUCCUGCAGACAACUGUAUUUCUGUUUUCUUUUUUACAAAAGGCAAAAACUUCGCGUUUUGUGUAUCGAUCCUUCAGCCUUGAUCCCCAAACAAGAUCGUGGGCUGUUGGUAUUGUGACAAGACCAUUUUUUACAAAUUAACCUAUUUCACACACACCCCUUUUUGCUAGUUGACUUUUUAUAUGUUGUUCUAUUUCUCUUUCGAGAAGCAGUUCACACGUUUAUUUACUUGAACGUUAAAAAAUACAACUCUUAGCAAUGGAUAUCUUGGUUCUCGCAACGAUGAAGAACGCAGCGAAAUGCGAUACGUAAUGCGAAUUGCAGAAUUCAGUGAAUCAUCAAAUCUUUGAACGCAAAUUGCGCUCUUGGGUAGCCCUAGGAGCACGCCUCUCUCAGUAUCGGUUCAACAAUCUCUCAGCAGCGUGUUUGUGAAAAUAAGUUAUUAUUAUUGCAGAUGCGUGUUGGCUGGAUAAUGAGAGUCUGAGCACAAUAGAAUUUAUUUUUUUUAUAUAGCUCAGUCUCUUGAAAUACAUGGAGUAAACAUGACUAGCGAUCAGUUCUAUUGUUCUCUUUUUGAGAGCAGUGGAUAGUCAGCUUCUGAGCUGUCGUUCGAUUAGUGACGUGAAUAUUGGCCUUCAUUGGUCUCUAACCUUUUACGUUUAUCUAAUUUCGUCUGACAAUUAAAAGUUUAGAUUUUGGCGAACGUUCGAUUUUAGUUGCAUGCUUUUAUGUGAGAAAACCAUAUGAUGACUUGUAAUAAUUUAAUUAUUGCGAGGAGUCUGAAUUUUGAUCUGAGAUGAAGCGAGACAACCCCCUGAAUUUAAGCAUAUUAAUAAGGGGAGGAAAAGAAACUAACAAGGAUUCCCUUAGUAACGGCGAGUGAAGCGGGAAGAGCUCAAUUUGAAAAUCGGUCACCUAAACGGGUCACCGAGUUGUAGCCUAGAGACAUACUAUCAGCUGAAACCCGGGUAUAAGUUCUUUGGAAUGAGGCAUCAUAGAGGGUGAGAAUCCCGUUUAUGACCCAAAGCUUUCAGCGUACGAUGUAUGUUCAUCGAGUCGAGUUGUUUGGGAUUGCAGCUCUAAAUGGGUGGUAAGUUUCAUCUAAAGCUAAAUAUAGGCGAGAGACCGAUAGCGAACAAGUACCGUGAGGGAAAGAUGAAAAGAACUUUGAAAAGAGAGUUAAAAGUACUUGAAAUUGCUAAGAGGGAAGCGCUAAAAACCAGUGAUACGCUGAGUCAAUCGCUUUCGGCCCCUCGUAGGUUUGGCGUUGUGCAAUGGGCAACCUUGUCGGCGUCACCGAAAGGGUGGUUGGGAGUUUAUGAUUUAGUGUCAGUCAAGAUCAAUUCGGAACUGUGGGAGAAGGUAGCGAGGAAGGUAGGAGAGCAAUCUCUGUUAUAUCCUCGUUACUCUACCUCGGCCUGGAUUGAGGAAGUAAUGGUGCGCCGCUUGCGGCUUGGUCCGGCGUCUCUAUUGUCCCAUUCGCUUUGAUAGCAAUGCUAUCUCUGUGUUGAAAGGCAAUACUGGGCGUCGUGAUUCUAUGUGCCAUCACGAUCUUGUACGAAAUGGUUUUUAUCGACCCGUCUUGAAACACGGACCAAGGAGUCUAACAUCUAUGCAAGUAUUUGGGUGCAAAACCCUGAUGCGUAAUGAAAGUAAAGGCAGACUCGUUUCUGCUGAGGUAGGAAUCCUUUGUCACAGAGGGAGGCACUAUCGACCGAUCAUCACUUGUGAAAGAUUUGAGUAAGAGCAUAUCUGUUGGGACCCGAAAGAUGGUGAUCUAUGCCUGAACAGGGUGAAGCCAGGGGAAACUCUGGUGGAGGCUCGUAGCGAUACUGACGUGCAAAUCGUUCGUCUGAUUUGGGUAUAGGGGCGAAAGACUAAUCGAACCAUCUAGUAGCUGGUUCCCUC